rnacentral:lncRNA from 1 species
UUUAAAUUUCGACGAGGCGGAAAAAUUCGGCAUGUUUGGUGUUCACAUUUACAGACAAAUUUUCUGCUCGAAAUAAUUUUGAAAAGUCUUCCAAAAGAGACAAUAAGAUAAAAUAAUGGUCUGCCAUCAAGAUGAGACUUCCUUACAAAAAGGGCUAACUGCUGUGAUGAGAACAACGCACUGCAGGUGUGGGCGGACUCCAAAAAAAAAUGCCUGCAUGUACUUGACUCUCUGGGUCCAUCAUCAAGGAGUUCCAGUCUCUGCAAGUUCAUGGGGAAAAAUGAUGGAGGAGUAGACCUGCACGAAAAACCGUGGGGCACCAGAAACCGUGAACUGGCACCUCUAGAGCUGGAUGAAGCUUCAGUGAGGAAGGAUCUGCAGUUUCUGUUGACCAAGUUGAAGCGGAUCCUACAAAGCAUCCCUAGAUGGCUUUGGAGACAUCUGGACUUGAGUGAACUCCAGUGCAAGUCGUUAAGCAUUGAUGUUACGCUGCAGGUGCGGUCGUAGUUGCCAGUGAUGUGCUGCGCUGAACUUGCUCCACUCUUCUGACCUUUGCAAACCAUGUUGAGGCUGGAUUGGACCAGACCAGUGCUUAGACUAGGCAGGACAGGCUGGAUGACCAUCACCAUGGUGACUGGGAUGACCUUAAGGGUGAGUCAAACCAAGAAUACAACCUGCUCCAUCAAAACUCAUCACAAUGUGCACCAUUAAGAACCUCCUUUGUAAAUGACCAUCAUUCUCUCAUUCGAUUCUUGUGAAUUGGAGUUUUGUCCUCAACAUUCUGAUUGAAAGAACUUUGAUACUUUUACCUGACAGUAUCACGGACAAAACAUGUAUUGUAAUUUGAAGAGGAAAGAAAAAUGAAAAUGAUAUCUCAAGCAAUGGUCAUGGCAGUCAUUUUUGAAAGACCGAGAAAUUAAUAGUUGCCCUCUUUAAUUGAUUACUGUGUGAUUUGAUAUACAUAAACAUAAACAAACAAGAAAUUCCAUUUGUGUGAACUGUCCCCCACACCCAUAAGACUUCCGUGCUCACAUUAGCCCUCGGAACAAAUGCCCCAACGCAUCGUUGCAACAGCUUUUACAAACUAAACUUUUCAAUUGAUAAAAUGCCUUUCCCAAAUUAAAAUGCAAGAAAAUAGGAAGACGGAAAUACAUGAUUUUCAACUUUGAAGUACACAGUAAGUUAAAAUUUGUAAAAGCUAUUUGAAAUUGAGAUAUUUGAAAAAAAAAACAAUUAUUAUCUUAAACACUUUUCCUCAAAUACAUGUUAUUUGAUACAAAAUCGAUUUCAAGGACAAAAUUGCUCGUUAUAUAUCUAAACUUGUUUUAAAUCAAAAUUGUACCUUUUUUUGAUAAAAAAAUGCACUUACUCUUUCAUAAAAUUGAAAUGUGCUUUUUUAUUUACUGCUUACUGCUAGGGCCAAAAACAGAACAAAAUGACACAGGUUGGGAUUAAUAGUGUAUUAUUCUGUAAUUUGUAAUUUUCCCAACCUUCUAAUUAUGACUAGUGUCCCGCCCACAAAAGAGGGAGUUUGCUCAAAUGUUGUGGUUUUCAUGUAAUUUGAACUUCAUUUUUCAUUUACCUCACUGCGAGAAGUCUUGAUAAAUGAAUCAGGUUUUUUGUAUUUACUUUGCCAUUUCUAAUAGACAACCCCACCCACAAAAAGGUAGGGGAAAAUGGGUAUUCAAUUGUGUACUCUUGAUUUGGUACCACAAGCCAACUGACUAUUGGUAAGCUUACAGUGACUUUUUAGUAGUAACCAUUUGCUUGAGUAUAUGGACCUUCCAUUUGCUGAGUUGCAUCUCACCUAUGAAACGCUGGAGCUAGUCAUUGCACUGCAGCCAUAGUUGAGACAAGACUUUCCCUUACUCCCCCUGGUGAUUCCUGACUGGCUCAUCACCGUCCAUUCCUCCCCAUACCUCCACCCUUCCUUCCGCCUCUACAUACCCCCACCCCUACCUUCCCUACCUUCCAUCCCUGCCCUCAUCCCGUGUCUAUCAUCACUCGCACGCACGCACGCACUGUUUCACGUCUGCCUAUCCUUCUUCACCCCUCCUCUUUUCUUCUGUCACUCGCACGCACCAUUUCAUAUCCACCCUUCCUGCUUUCACUAACAUGGGAUCAUGACAGCUACCUUCCCGGUGGUGAUCCUGUUAAGGGAAGUUUUCCUGUUAAAGGGAAAUUUCCUGAACUAAAGCUGUCAAAUAGGGGAUGCUAGUACACUGGAUCUUUUUGAACGGUUAUCAACUUUAAUCUCCAUUAAGUCUUUAUAAUGGAGAUCGAUGGUCAUAAUUUCAUGUUGCAUUAUGCAAUUUCAUAUUGAAACAAAAGAAAGUUCCAAAUUUGAAAUACACUUGAAAAAUGUUUAGCUUGCGCCAUUUUACACACAAAAUGUAAGGAAAUUUUCUUAUUGAAAUUUAUCUGAAAAUUUCCCUUAAUUUGCAUACUCUAGUUUUGCAUACUUUAUUCGCAAGUUAUGUCUAUUUCGCCAUUAAUUUUGCACAAAAAAAAAAUGCUUCAAUGUGUCCAGCUGGCAUCUGGCUGAAUAUUGAUUUACAAGGUCAAAUGACAAGGAAAUGCAAAAACGUUUUGUGUGGACCUUUAUGCACAGUCCACCUCCAACUUGCAGUUUGACACUCGGACUACAAUCACUUCUUGUCAUCACUCUUCAACGAUUCGGCAAUUCAUCGUGGGCCAGGACCAGCGUAGUGCUUGGAGUUGACGAGUCUGGUGAGAAUGAGACGGCUCUUUUGAAAGUCAACCGGCAUGAUAGACAGUGACCUCCAUGACCACCACGUUCACUUCGCUCAAGAUUUACAUGCACGGGAAAUCAGUGAACUGAGAUUUGACUGGUUUUUAUUUUCAAAACUCAAACUUAGUUGCUCCAUGAGUUGCUUGCGGUUCACUCCAUCUUGAACUUGAAUUACAAAGAUGAUGUUGAUAUACCUUGUUGGAAUGUAGCCUUUUGGACGAUUUGGGAGGCCGCUGCUUGAACUUCUACAGUGGCAGUCUGCAGUACUUCUACUUCUACUCUGGUACUCGUUAGAAUCCACAAGACUGGAUGUAACGCUGAGGGACUUCUUGAGCAUGAGCGGUGCAGGAGGUGCAUACAACCUGCAAGUAAAAACUUCGGCACUUCAUGUGAACAACGCCAUAGCUACUGUGGAAGAGACUGACCUUUACAAGCCAUGCUGAGGCUGGAUUGGACCAGACCAGUGCCUAGACUAGGCAAGGCAGGCUGGAUGACCAUCACCAUGGUGACUGGGAUGACCUUAAGGGUGACUGAUCACAUGACUCAGAUGCUGGCUAUUGAUGGAGGUUUCUUCAGGCUCAUCUUGAAGACUGCUGAAGGGACUCAGCUGGACUGGAGUGGCUGAUGUUGGACAAAGCAAAUCCAUGGCAAUGAGAGGUCUCUGUCACGCACGCACGAAAGAAAAAUGGAGAUCUCUAAAUCCAAACGCACACCCAGAGAAAUACAAAAAAUGAAUAAAACUCACAAUUUCUCCGAGUUUGCCAUUAUUCACUCUGUGAGGAAAUGCCUUCAUUGCCAUGGAUUUGUCUAAAAACCUAUGAAAAACAAAAUGAAUGAAAUACUUAUCCAGGCACAUGUCACAAAUUCCAAACAGCGUCCCAAACAUAAGAACCCAGUUGUAUAAUGUUCUCGAAGAGACCUGCACCCAAUUUCACGAAACUGUUCGUAACUUACGAUGCGUCGCAGCGAUGCGACGCAUCGUAUCCCUACGAUUCGUCGCAGCUGCGACGUGUCCUGCUAUCCAUUUCACAAAACACGUUGUUAGUGCGACGCGUCGUAUGUGUAUUUAUAGCACAACUCGGUGACUGUUUUAUGUAUUAAGUCAACGUACAGAAAAUAGUCGUCUGGUAUUCAACAAAGAGCUGUCGGAUUUCCACUCGAAAUUUGUUAAAACGUAGGACAAAAUUGCGGCCGUGUAAUGCAAUUUUAAACGAAAACGAGCUCUCAGUGGACUGUGUAGCUACUUUGAAAUUUCAAGUGCAAUAUUCCAGAGUAAUUCAAAAUUAUUCAAUGAAUUUUCUAUUUAAAACUUUACACACCUUGCCUCAGUAUUAUAAUCUCGUUUAUGUAAUGUUUAUGGCACAAAACUGGCUAAAAACGGACUCUUCUUAUUUUGCGACGACUAUUAGACACGUCGUAGCUUGCGACGUGUUUUAAGCCGUUGUCAAGGAACUUACGAAGUGUUCAACACAUCGCAACUUUCGUGAACUGGAUUAUACAACACGUCGCGAGUUGCGACGUGUUACAUGUCGUAACUCGAGUUGCGACGCGUCGCAGCGCUUCGUGAAAUCGGGUGCAGAUGUUUCAACUUGAUUAAAGUUAAUAAUCAUGUAUUUUAAAAUACCUCGUUUUGAUAUAGACAUAGCUCGCCGUGAAUUGACAAGUUCACUCUGAUAUAAGAGUUGCAAUUCAACUCUUCUGUUUUGUACAAAUUUUGGUGAAGGCCUUUACAUUCAUUCAUGCCAAACUCCUAGACCCUAAGUGCAUUCAAAAGCGAGGAAAUUUGAACAGGUUUUUAUUGUUCUCAAAUGGAAAAAGUUGUCGGGACCAAUUUGUUGACAUGUGCCUGGUUAAAAGUGUGUUAUACCUAAUUUGAUGUAUUUAUCAAAAUACACCCAGCUUUUAGUUAUAAACAUGUAUCUACAAUGGCACAUCAUUAAUUUAUCGCUGAUAUUAUGUAAUUACAGCCUGUCAAGUUGCUCUUUAGUGCUAUUUUUGAGUUGAAUCCCUGGAAAUGUUGUCUUUAAAUUACUAAUUUUGCAAUAAUUUUGAAUGAGACAAAACAAUCCACCAGUGUUUAGUAAUGGAACAUUUACUUGCAAAUAAUUCAGCUGUAUUGUUUACAAUACUUCAGCUGUAUCGUUUUAUGCAUUAUUGGCGCAAAUGCAACCCAAACUAAAAGCGCAUUUUCAAAAGUUUGUUAAAAAGAUUUGAAAAUUCGAUAGGAGAAAAAAAAUUGAAUUUGUUGAAGAGCAUAGAUAGAGCAACUUGUUUAAAGUGCUUACUUUUUCAUUAAAUGUUACUUAAUUAUUUAUGAAUUUUCAAGAGUUUGUUUCUCACACUGAGAAUGUUGUUUUAUGAUCUGAAAAUUUAUUGCUGGAAUAUUUCAAAACUUUCAGUAUAGAAUGGAACUUGUAAAACAUUGCCAAAUUGAGUUUGUCUACCGGUAGUUUGGUACUUGUUCAGAUAUUUGGUCAAAAACAUGAUUGAGUUGAUAAUAUAUCUGUUAAUUAUUCACGGAACUUUAGUGUUUCUGUCAAUUCGAAAGCUCAUUAUUAAUCUAGUUUGAAAGUGACAGAUUUCGCAUAAAAAAAGAAGAAAUUCUGUUAAAUGUUGAACUAAAUAGAUCAAUUAUACAGUUACUAAAGACAAGAGGAUAACUUAAUGAUGUGCCAUUGUAGAUUGUUUAUUUUUGUGACUUGAAUAAAGUAUGUUGGUUUGGUGUGAUUGUCUUUUUUUUUAUUGACAUACCUGCUGUCUAUUUUCACAAGUUUGCAGCACAAAAGAAUGCCGUGUUCAUAUUUUGUUGGUUUAGUUUUUUGAUGAAGAUGUAAACAAGCUUGAAAUAACUGGGUGGAUGUUGCUUGAAAACAAUGAUCUUGUAAGUUUUUUAUGGUUGAUGAUGAUUGUAAAUUCAAAACAUGCUCAUUUGCUGAGCUCUUGUUUGAAAUUGUAGAAAAAAACUUUUAAAACUGGGAACAACUUCCAACUUCCACCAUAAAAUUGUUACCAAAAGUGGUGCAAAUUAAUUUGACGAAAAUAGACGGCAGGUAUAUUGUUUUUGAAGUUGAGUAGGGACACAAGAGGGCCCCCUUCACAGUUUAACUAACUUUUUUCAAAUUGGAAUAAGAGGGCGCCCUUUUUAUUUUUAGAGAUUUUUGUAGAAGUCCAACUAAAAGAAGGGCGCCCUCAAUUUCAGUCAUGACAAAUUGUUUCGACUCGUACUGUGAAGGGAGCCCUCUUGUGUCAUGUUUAAAUACUAAGUUAAUAUCACACAAGAGGGCGCCCUUCAUUUUUUUUUUGUAUUUUGACUUGGGGCUGGGAAAGAA